AUGGUUGACAACAACACUGAGUGUGCAUAUGAAUUAAUUGUAUUGAAUGGACAGGAAAAGGCCAGCUUGCCAGGAGUGAAGAAAGCUUUGGGCAAGUAUGGGCCCUCUAAUGUGGAAGACAUGACAGGAAGUGGAGCUGCAGACAGUAAGGAUGAUGAUGAUAUAGAUCUCUUUGGAUCUGAUGAUGAUGAGAAAAGUGAAGAAGCAAAGAGACUAAGAGAAGAUCACCUUGCACAAUACGAGUCAAAGAAAGCCAAAAAGCCUGCGCUUGUUGCCAAGUCUUCCAUCUUACUUGAUGUGAAACCUUGGGAUGCUGAGACAGACAUGGCCAAAUUGGAAGAGUGCGUUAGAAGCAUUCAAGCAGACGGCUUGGUCUGGGGCUUUUCUAAGCUCGUUCCAGUGGGAUAUGGAAUUAAAAAAACUUCAAAUACAGUGUGUGGUUGAAGAUGAUAAAGUUGGCACAGAUAUGCUGGAGGAACAGAUCACUGCUUUUGAAGACUAUGUGCAGUCCAUGGAUGUGACUGCUUUCAAUAAGAUUUAAAAUUCAUUCUGAAUGGUUGCAUUUAAAUAAAAUUUUGAAAGAU